GAUCAUGGCUCAGGAUAAACGCUGGCGGCGCACAUAAGACAUGCAAGUCGAACGGAAGUCGUUAUAAAAAGGAUUGAGGAUUUAUCUGAUUGAGAUUUUAUAACAAUGGCUUUAGUGGCGGACUGGUGAGUAACGCGUGAGCAACCUGCCUACUAGAGGGGAAUAACAGUGAGAAAUCAUUGCUAAUACCGCAUAUGCCAUGAACAUCACAUGAUGAAAGUGGG
rnacentral:rRNA from 1 species